rnacentral:rRNA from 1 species
GACGAACGCUGGCGGCGUGCUUAACACAUGCAAGUCGAGCGGAGCGGCGAACGGGUGAGUAACGCGUGAGUAACUGCCCCCCUCUCUGGGAUAACAGUUGGAAACGGCUGCUAAUACCGGAUAGUGGGGGAUGACUCGCGUCCUAUCAGCUUGUUGGGGGGGUGGUGGCCUACCAAGGCGACGACGGGUAGCCGGCCGGCGAGGGCGACAGGCCACAUGGGGCUUGGAUACGGCCCUAACUCCUUCGUGAGGCAGCUGUGGGUAAUAUUGCACAAUGGGGGAAACCCGGAUGCAGCUGCGUCGCGGGCGGGAUGACGGCCUGCGGGUUGUAAACCGCUUUCAGCCAUGACGCGGUAGUGCAAGAAGAAGCACCGGCGAACUCCGUGCCAGCAGCUGCGGUAAUUC